GAGUUUGAUCCUGGCUCAGAGUGAACGCUGGCGGCAGGCCUAACACAUGCAAGUCGAGCGGCAGCGCGGGGGUGCUUGCACCCCUGGCGGCGAGCGGCGGACGGGUGAGGAAUGCAUCGGAAUCUGCCUUCUCGUGGGGGAUAACCUGGGGAAACCCAGGCUAAUACCGCAUGCGCCCUUCGGGGGAAAGCCGGGGACCUUCGGGCCUGGCGCGGGAAGAUGAGCCGAUGCCGGAUUAGCUUGUUGGCGGGGUAAAGGCCCACCAAGGCGACGAUCCGUAGCUGGUCUGAGAGGAUGAUCAGCCACACCGGGACUGAGACACGGCCCGGACUCCUACGGGAGGCAGCAGUGGGGAAUAUUGGACAAUGGGCGCAAGCCUGAUCCAGCCAUGCCGCGUGAGUGAAGAAGGCCUUCGGGUUGUAAAGCUCUUUUGUACGGGAAGAAACCCGGCCGGCGAAUACCCGGCCGGACUGACGGUACCGUAAGAAUAAGCACCGGCUAACUUCGUGCCAGCAGCCGCGGUAAUACGAAGG
rnacentral:rRNA from 1 species